rnacentral:rRNA from 1 species
AGUGAACGCUGGCGGUAGGCCUAACACAUGCAAGUCGAACGGCAGCACAGUAAGAGCUUGCUCUUACGGGUGGCGAGUGGCGGACGGGUGAGGAAUACAUCGGAAUCUACUUUUUCGUGGGGGAUAACGUAGGGAAACUUACGCUAAUACCGCAUACGACCUACGGGUGAAAGCAGGGGAUCUUCGGACCUUGCGCGAUUGAAUGAGCCGAUGUCGGAUUAGCUAGUUGGCGGGGUAAAGGCCCACCAAGGCGACGAUCCGGAGCUGGUAUGGGAGGAUGAUGAGCCAGACUGGAACUGGGGCACGGUCCAGAGUCCUACGGGAGGCAGCAGUGGGGAAUAUUGGACAAUGGGGGCAAGCCUGAUCCAGCCAUACCGCGUGGGUGAAGAAGGCCUUCGGGUUGUAAAGCCCUUUUGUUGGGAAAGAAAAGCAGCAGGUUAAUACCCCGCUGUUCUGACGGUACCCAAAGAAUAAGCACCGGCUAACUUCGUG